AAUCAAGUGGAGGACAAGUCUGGUGCCAGCACCCGCGGUAAUUCCAGCUCCACUAGCGUAUAUUAAAGUUGUUGCAGUUAAAAAGCUCGUAGUUGAACCUCUGUCUGGGGCUAGUUUUGGCUUUGGUCAGGCUAGUUCUAGGCAUCCGCCUACAAGACUUAGAGGGCAUUCAGUUGUUCACUAGGAGGAGUAGGCAUUUUACUUUGAAAAAAUUAGAGUGUUUAAGGCAGGCAAUCGCCCGCAUAUAUUAGCAUGGAAUAAUAGAAUAGGACACUUUUCCAUUUCGUUGGUUAUUGGAAUCGUGUAAUGAUUAAUAGGGACAGUUGUGGGCAUUUGUAUUUAAUUGUCAGAGGUGAAAUUCUUGGAUUUAUUAAAGACAAACUAACGCGAAAGCAUUUGCCAAGGAUGUUUUCAUUAAUCAAGAACGAAAGUUAGGGGAUCAAAGACGAUCAGAUACCGUCCUAGUCUUAACUAUAAACUAUUCCGACUCAAUGUUUGACUGGCUUAUAUAACCAGUUGAGCGUUGUAUGAGAAAUCAAAGUCUUUAGGUUCUGGGGGGAGUAUGGUUGCAAAGCUGAAACUUAAAGGAAUUGACGGAAGAGCACAACCAGGAGUGGAUUCUGCGGCUUAAUUUGACUCAACACGGGGAAACUUACCAGGUUAAAACAAUAGUGGGAUUGACAGUUUGAGAGCGCUUUCUUGAUUGGUUGGGUGGUGGUGCAUGGCCGUUCUUAGUUGGUGGAGUGAUUUGUCUGCUUAAUUGCGUUAACGAACGAGACCUUAACCUGCUUACUAGACUGGCGAUAUCAAUCGUUAGCUCUUCUUAGAGGGACUUUGGUUGUUUUAACUCCAAGGAAGUUUGAGGCAAUAACAGGUCUGUGAUGCCCUUAGAUAUCCUGGGCCGCACGCGUCAUACAAUGACUAGUUCAGAAAGUUUUCUCCUGACCCGAAAGGGGAUGGGUAAUCUUGAUAAUACUAGUCGUGUUAGGGAUCGAUCUUUGCAAUUAUAGAUCUUGAACGAGGAAUUCCUAGUAAGUGCGGUUCAUCAGACCGUACUGAUCACGUCCCUGCUCUUUGUACACACCGCCCGUCGCUUCUACCGAGUGGGUGGUCCGGUGAGAUAAUUGAACUUCGCAGGUAACUGAGAGGAAAGAUUAUCAAACCUAUCCACCU
rnacentral:rRNA from 1 species